rnacentral:tRNA from 1 species
GAAGUAGUGGCCGAGGGUAGGCACUAGAUUGUAAAUCUAUUAACGAGAUAUCUCCUAUUUCA